GUCUAUGGCCAUACCACCCUGAAAGCGCCCGAUCUCGUCUGAUCUCGGAAGCUAAGCAGGGACGGGCUUGGUUAGUACCUGGAUGGGAGACCGCCUGGGAAUACCAGGUGUUGAAGGCU
rnacentral:rRNA from 1 species